rfam:Pelodiscus sinensis unplaced genomic scaffold scaffold315, whole genome shotgun sequence.
GGCCGGUUAGCUCAGUUGCUCAGAGCAUGGUGCUGAUAAUGCUGAGGUUGCAGGUUUGAUCACUGCACAGGCCC